UACGUAGGUGGCAAGCGUUGUCCGGAUUUACUGGGUGUAAAGGGCGUGCAGCCGGGAAGACAAGUCAGAUGUGAAAUCCCGCGGCUCAACCGCGGAACUGCAUUUGAAACUGUUUUUCUUGAGUAUCGGAGAGGUAAUCGGAAUUCCUAGUGUAGCGGUGAAAUGCGUAGAUAUUAGGAAGAACACCAGUGGCGAAGGCGGAUUACUGGACGACAACUGACGGUGAGGCGCGAAAGCGUGGGGAGCAAACAGG
rnacentral:rRNA from 1 species